UACGUAGGGAGCUAGCGUUGUCCGGAAUCAUUGGGCGUAAAGCGCGCGUAGGCGGCCCGGUAAGUCCGCUGUGAAAGUCAAAGGCUCAACCUUUGAAUGUCAGCGGAUACUGCCGGGCUAGAGUCCGGAAGAGGCGAGUGGAACUCCUGGUGUAGCGGUGGAAUGCGCAGAUAUCAGGAGGAACACCAAUAGCGAAGGCAGCUCGCUGGGACGGUAUUGACGCUAAGGCGCGAAAGCGUGGGGAGCAAACAGG
rnacentral:rRNA from 1 species